UGCUCGAAUGAUUGAAUGAAAGUGGAGACCCCAACCUGGCAUGAGGCUCACUGGGACAAAGCUUGGAAAUAAUGAGGGGCGACUUAAGGGCACUUAUGUUGGGCAGAAUGCUCAGUGGGGGGCUCCUUUGCCCACCCCCCCUUCCCUCCUUUGAACUCCUGCACAUUUAGUUUUUUUUUUUUGGUCCACUCAGGCCAAUUGACCUCAUCAAUGGACCGUCAUUUAAAGACUUUUAAAAACCCAACCGACUCUACUUCUCUUAAUUAAGUGUCUACCUUAUGUCUGUCUGCCCUAUUUAUUUUUGUAUUAUUUUUCUUACCUAAUUUGAGUUGGUUUUUCUUUGCACGUAGUGAUGUCUUUGACACCUUUGAGCUCCAUCGUUUGUAUGAAGUCGUGCGUUAGGAAGUUCUUCUUCCUGAUGGCCCUUCCUGCUGUAGUUUCAGAGCCUUGCUGUGUAGCUGGUCGCACCAUCUUCUCCUGCGUGUCCUUCAGGCUCACACCUGGCUCUUCUCUCACAGCGCCUUCCCUUCCUCCAGUCCCGGACCCUCGUUUAUUUGCCUGGUGUCCCCCUUCGUGUGUGGUCGAGAUAUCCCACCUGGUGUUUACAGCGUUGAGUAAUCCUGUCCAAAGCUGACCACAGAGCAGCAUGUAGUAACGUGACAGUAUGAAAAACAUCUAGAAAGUUCUGGAACUUUUUGAGAAGGAAAUUGGCUUUACCUGAGGACUCUGAGAUCCCAGCCCUCCAGUACAAGAAGACAAAAAUAAAAUUCAUCCAUCCAUUCAGACGUGUGGUGUGAACGUAAACUAAAGGUCAUGAAUAUCAGGUAGAUGUUUGCACACCAAUGACACAGUGGCAAUCGGCUUCCUAGUGACAGCCUCGCCACCUGGAGGGUGACAGUAGCCUGGCUCUGCCCAUCAGGGCACAUUGAAUCAGGGUGAUGGCGCUGACAUGGAGCACUGGGCUCUGCCAUAUUCCGCUUAUGCAACGGCACAAAGUGUUUCGGCUUCAACCGUCUGAUGUUGUUUAUCUGGAGGGUCUGCUCCUUUCAGGCUCUCGUGCGACUGGCUCUGGCGGCAAUCCCUGACCACAUCCUGUUGUUGCUACAGUGUCAUGAUCCCCCCAUGUGCACAAAGACUAUCUCCUUCCUCAACCACCUUGGCCUCCUCCUGCAGCUCAGAAUUAUUCUUAGGGCAAUGCCACUUACCUCCAAAGCUGAGAUAAGACACCCCAGAAAGGGUAAAGUUGGGCCCCCCGAUGCUGGAAUUCUCAUUUUCCAGGCACCUCACUGACCCCCUAUAGCUGGACAUCCAUUCAGCUUAACGUGGCCUGAACUCUCACAUCAAACCCAGUCGCUUUAUCCUUUUUCACACUUUUGUCCUUUUCCUUCUAGAAGGCCUCAUUGCCAGCUUGCCAACUAAUGAAACAUAGAGGAGACGAUGGAUGGAAGCCAUGAAAAGGGACGAAGGACCACAUUUUGUGAUACGCAUUGGCACUGUCCGCCUCAAGUAAUAUUGUGCCGAGCCUUUUUAGUGGAAACAAAUUUGGUGUCCUACUGACUUGGGAAUCAGCUUUUGAAAAGGCAAAUAUCUGUCUCUAGUGUCGUUUGGACAAAUUUGCCAAUGCGUUUUUCGCUGCAUUUACCAGUGACCUUGUUUGCCGAAUAUUCUCCUGGAAAGUGCAAAGUAUCCGCAUAGAGCUGGGAGGUCCUUUCCUUGUCAUUAUGACCAAGUGCUCCAUGUGCUGCUAAUGUAAAAUGGAUCUUCUUUAUCCUGCUGCUUUGUGGAUUCUGUUCUGUCUAGUGCCUGUCUGGAGCUGCCUACCGGUUUAGGACUCGGUCCAUCCGAGACCGGCCGCUGCGAUUGAUCUUUGCGACUUUAGAUUGUGUGACGCAUAUCUCACUGCAGUUUCCAGAUUCUAUUCUUAGAGAUUCUUGUGAAACCUGAAAGAGAAGAAGAGGACGUGGGCUAAAAUGAGGAGGGUGUCAGGCUACGUUUGAGGAAACAGCGGCUCACCCGGAUUCCUCUGCCCUCGGUAAUCACGGGGAACAUCCAGUCUCUGAAGAAUAAAGUGGAGGAACUCCAAGGGCAAUGUCCAUUUUCAGAAGGCCUUCGGAGACGGGCCAGUACUGAGACAUGGCUCACGGAGCACAAGCAGGAUGCUGACUUGUUUAUCGAUGGUUUUGCAGCGCCAUGUUGGCUGGAUGGAAGGGCUGAAGUGAUGAGGAAAACUCGAGGUGGUGGCGCAUGUUUGAACUUUAAUUAACGAGACCGUCAGAGAACACACCUGUAUGCCAAAUGCUGAACUUUUUUCGACUGUUACGUCCUUUCUACCUUCCCAGUGAGUUUCCACAGCUUUUUAUCAUAAUAAUGGACAUUCACCCAAAGGCAAACGCUGCCUCUGCCUGUAGCACAAAAACUGCCAUCAAUUUCACCUGAUGCACCAAACUUUACAUUGGGCAAUCCCUUAAAAAGACGCUUCACGUGACACUUAACCAACGAGGUGAGAUAAGACAUCCAGGCUUUGUUACGGCUCAGUAAAGGACACUUCUAAAUCACUCCCACUAUCUCCAUUGGGCUCAGUGUGUCAUAACUGUGUGUGUUUAUUGUCCACAUAAAAAGAGAGAGAAAGCACAAAGGACAUAAAAUAGCAGACAGAUAAAUCUGUGCUCUGCCUGCACUGCCCGGGACAUCUCUAAACAGUCUUGUGAUGAUGACUUGGACAGAUUCAUUGAUGUUAUGUUCUCAUGGGAUGUGAUCAUUCCUUGUAAGCGAGUUACUAUUUACCCUAAUAACACACCAUGGGUGACCAAAUCCAUUAAGUCCAGCACACAGAAAACGCUACUCGUUAUAAACAGGGAGUUGCCUCUGAUCUUCAUAUAGCUACCGAGGAUCUGAAAAUAGAAAUCCUCCAAGCUAAACAGAAGUAUAAAUAUGAAUUAGUGAACGAGACGGCUGCAAGUAAACUUGGCCCAGCUUGGUUUAGUAUGAAAACCACAGCAGGCCUCUGGAAUCUAAAAAUUACCAGUCAGGUCGCCUCAGUUUUGGUUUCAGUUCAGAUACUGAGCGUGCUAAUGUUUUCAAUUGCUUGUAUAAAUCACCUUGAUACUUUUGAAUUUAGUAAUGAAAUUCACUACACUUGUAAAUCAUCACAACUUUGAUAUACGCCAAAAGGAUGUGGAAAAGGCCAUCCCUAUCAUGGACCUGAUAACAUCUGUGGCCAUUUACUUAAAUCUUGUGCAAAAGAACAAAGUCCCUUGUUCCACUAAAUUUGUAGUAAGUCUUUACAGGCACAGCAUGUACCUCAGGUUUGGGAGGAUGAUGUGGUAAGUCCCUGUCCCCAAACUUAGUUGACCUGAAACUAUUAAUGCUCUCACGUCCGUUUUAAUGAAAACCUUCAAAAAACUGGUAAGGUCAGAAAUCUUAUGGAAUACCCAGAGUGCAUUUCACCUGAUGCAGUUUGCUUCCAGGCCACACAGAGGAUGCCACUGUCACUUUGCUAAAUUUGCUUGCUAAAGAUCUGAACAGAAGUGGAGGUGUUUCAGUUUGAAGUCACAAACCCACCAUCUCUGCCUCAGAGGUGAGCACUUUGUGGCCUGAGCUAAACGGAGAGCUCCAUCUGUCAGCUGUGCAGAGCCCACCUCUGAACACAAUGAGCGGUGCGCACCCCUGGCAACGUCAGACCCCACCUUCUCUGCGCAGCGUCGUCACUACAGGUGACGAAGCGGAAGCGGAAGUAGAAGCAGACAAUGGCCGACA